GGCUGGUCUGAUGGUAGUGUAUUAUCAGAACUUAUUAACAUUGGUGUCACUAAAGUUAAUAUACAACCCCCAACUGCUAAAUUUGACUGGCUUAAA
rnacentral:Y_RNA from 6 species